UACGUAGGGUGCGAGCGUUGUCCGGAAUUAUUGGGCGUAAAGGGCUCGUAGGCGGUUUGUCGCGUCGGGAGUGAAAAACACCGGGCUUAACUCGGUGCUUGCUUUCGAUACGGGCAGACUAGAGGUAUGCAGGGGAGAACGGAAUUCCUGGUGUAGCGGUGAAAUGCGUAGAUAUCUGGAGGAACACCGGUGGCGAAGGCGGCAUCCUGGACCGGUAUUGACGCUGAGGCGCGAAAGCUAGGGGAGCAAACGGG
rnacentral:rRNA from 1 species